rnacentral:rRNA from 1 species
UACGUAGGGGGCAAGCGUUAUCCGGAUUUACUGGGUGUAAAGGGAGCGUAGACGGCAGCGCAAGUCUGGAGUGAAAUGCCGGGGCCCAACCCCGGAACUGCUUUGGAAACUGUGCAGCUCGAGUGCAGGAGAGGUAAGCGGAAUUCCUAGUGUAGCGGUGAAAUGCGUAGAUAUCAGGAGGAACACCGGUGGCGAAGGCGGCCUGCUGGACUGCAACUGACGUUGGGGCCCGAAAGCGUGGGGAGCAAACAGG